rnacentral:rRNA from 1 species
GAUGAACGCUGGCGGCGUGCUUAACACAUGCAAGUCGAACGGAAAGGCCCAAGCUUGCUUGGGUACUCGAGUGGCGAACGGGUGAGUAACACGUGGGUGAUCUGCCCUGCACUUCGGGAUAAGCCUGGGAAACUGGGUCUAAUACCGGAUAGGACCACAUUUUGGAUGGUGUGGUGGAAAGUUUUUCGGUGUGGGAUGAGCUCGCGGCCUAUCAGCUUGUUGGUGGGGUAAUGGCCUACCAAGGCGUCGACGGGUAGCCGGCCUGAGAGGGUGUACGGCUACAUUGGGACUGAGAUACGGCCCAGACUCCUACGGGAGGCAGCAGUGGGGAAUAUUGCACAAUGGGCGCAAGCCUGAUGCAGCGACGCCGCGUGGGGGAUGACGGCCUUCGGGUUGUAAACUCCUUUCGCUAGGGACGAAGCGCAAGUGACGGUACCUGGAGAAGAAGCACCGGCUAACUACGUG